AUUGAACGCUGGCGGUAUGCUUAACAUAUGCAAGUCGAACGGCAGCACGGUAUGUAGCAAUACAUAUGGGUGGCAAGUGGCGGACGGGUGAGUAACGCGUAGGAAUCUGCCCUCAAGCGGGGGACAACCCGAGGAAACUCGGGCUAAUACCGCAUAAACUCGGAAGAGAAAAGCUGGGGUAACCUGGCACUUGAGGAGGAGCCUGCGUCUGAUUAGCUAGUUGGUAGGGUAAAGGCCUACCAAGGCGAUGAUCAGUAGCUGGUCUGAGAGGAUGACCAGCCACACUGGAACUGAGACACGGUCCAGACUCCUACGGGAGGCAGCAGUGGGGAAUAUUGGACAAUGGGGGAAACCCUGAUCCAGCAAUACCGCGUGUGUGAAGAAGGCCUUCGGGUUGUAAAGCACUUUAGUUGGGGAGGAAGGUUAGCAGUUUAAGAGAUGGCUAAUUUGACUGUACCCAAAGAAUAAGCACCGGCUAACUCUGUGCCAGCCGCCGCCGUAA
rnacentral:rRNA from 1 species